AACUUUUUUAAAAGUGAAAAAGGAAGCAAAUAAUACUGUAUAUUUCAUACACUAUAUCUUAAUUUGAGAUAUAUAUGUAUGUAUAUUUAAAUUUAGAACCAUAUAUUAAAAUUUUUGCAGUGGUUAUUUCUGAAAGGUGGUUUAUGGAUGGAUUAAAUUUCUUUCUUUGUACUUUUCUGUAUUUUUCAAAUUUUCUACAAACGACCAUAGUAGAAAAUAAUAGAGAAGCUGCAAAAAAGGGAGAAAAUUUUUAUAAUAGAGAAAAAGUUGCAAAAAAGGGGAGACACCCAAGUUUAUAGUACUAUAUUUUAGGCAAAUUGCCAUGAAAAAUUGUUAAACUUAAAAAAAAAACUUAAAGAGGUAAGGUUUGGUGUUAUUGAGCACUUCAAAUGUGGCUAGCUCAAACUGAGAUAGCUGUAAGUAUAAAUUACCAAAUGGAUUUCAAAGUCUUAGUGCAAAAAGAGAAUAUGAAAUAUCUCAUGUAUUUUUAAACAUUGGUUACAUGAUAAAAAAAAUUUUGUUAGAUUAAAUAAACUAUAUUAUUUUCUUAGUCCAUUUUGUGCUGCUAUAACAGAAUGUCUGACACUGGUUAGUUUACAAUUCUGGAGGCUGGAGUCCAAGGUCAAGGGGUGGCAUCUGGUGAUGGCCUUCUUGCUUCAUCAUCCCAUGGCAGAAGGCAGGAGAGCAAGAGAAUGUGUAGGAGAGAAAUAGAGGGCCAAACUCAUUUUUCUAACAAGCCCUCUCUUGAGAUAACUAACUUACUCCCUCAAUAACAACAUUAAUCCACUCACAAGGGCAGAGCCUUCAUGACCUAAUCGGCACUUAUUAGGCUGUACCACCAACAUUGCUGCAUUGGGGAUAAAGUUUCUGAUACAUAAACUUUGGGGAACAUAUUCAAAUCAUAGGAAUUGUUAAAAGUAAUUUUAUGUAUUUCUUUUUACUUUUUAAAAUGUACCUACCAGAAAGUUUACAAUUAAACAUAUGGCUGAUGUUUGUGGCUAUAUAUGUAUUGGACAGUGCUGGUCUAGAAUAUCAUCCAAUUUUUAAUAAACCCCUGAAACCCAAGUGACUUUAAGUGCUUUACCUUUCCCCUAACAUCCUCUUCAGUAUUAUCCAAUAAAAAGGCUUUAUCCUCCAUCCUAA
rnacentral:lncRNA from 1 species